AUGAAUUCACCAGAGUUUUGCAAGACAAUAGUUGGGGCUACAUAUGCAAACUACUAUUAUCCAGAUACAACAACAGACAGCUUGCGCUGUGUGAGUAACUGCACCAAGGGCAGUGCGUAUGCUAUCAAUUGCUACCAUGGGGUUUGCCGCAUCUCUGACAAAGGCCCCAACUGCAACUGUAAUGACCGGAAUACCUUUUGGUAUGUAGACAAUAACUGCCAGACGCGUUUCCAGAAGAGUGAGGUGGGUCUUGGUAUUGGGAUGGCUGUCCUCUUCCUGAUUGCUAUCAUCUUGGCUGUCUUCCUCUUCAGAACCUAUCGGAGAAAGUCUGAGUCUAGAUACUCUGAUGGAGAUAACCUCAUUUAUGAAGACACUAAAGAGGAAGAAUGGCUACCCCCGUGGACCCUGAACUUCACAAAUGAGGCAGCUGACUUCCACAAUGGAAGCCAAAAUAUAAACAAUGGAUUCAAUCUUUCACUUGACUCAGUAGACACCUCAGUACAGUUGCAAUUUGAGAAGCCAGAAGUAGUAAGGCCUCAGCAGCCUCUUCCUGGGACUUAUCCUAGAUAG
rnacentral:lncRNA from 1 species